ACCAGCAGCCAUAUCACCUUGCAACUUACAGCUGGCAUCCACUGAAGCUAAGGUGUGAGCCUGGUCAGUACCUGGAUGGGAGACCUCUUGGGAAAAUCUAAGGUUACUGCUGGAA
rnacentral:rRNA from 1 species